rnacentral:rRNA from 1 species
UACGGAGGGUGCAAGCAUUAAUCGGAUUUAUUGGGCGUAAAGGGCGCGUAGGCCGAAUGGCAAGUCAGAUGUGAAAUUCCGGAGCUCAACUUCGGAGCUGCAUUUGAAACUGCCAAUCUAGAGGGUAGGCGGAGAAAACGGAAUUCCACGUGUAGCGGUGAAAUGCGUAGAUAUGUGGAAGAACACCUGUGGCGAAAGCGGUUUUCUAGCUUAUACCUGGCGCUGAGGCGCGAAAGCAAGGGGAGCAAACAGG